rnacentral:rRNA from 1 species
GGCUACGAGGACGAACGCUGGCGCGUGCUUAAUACACGCAAGUCAACUUGACUUUAGAUAGCAAUAUCGAAAGUAGGGUGGCGCACGGGUGCGUAACGCGUAGGUAAUCUGCCCUGAGGUCUGACAUAACCCGUCGAAAGCGGGCUAACAUCAGAUGAUAUAUAAUCACGACAUCGUGGAAAUAUCAAAUCUUCGGAGCCUUGGGAUGAGCCUGCGUCUGAUUAGGUAGUUGGCGGAGUAAUAGCCCACCAAGCCUACGAUCAGUAGCUGGUCUGAGAGGAUGAUCAGCCACACUGGAACUGAGACACGGUCCAGACUCCUACGGGAGGCAGCAGUAAGGAAUAUUGCUCAAUGGGGGGAAACCCUGAAGCAGCAACGCCGCGUGAAGGAUGAAAUACUUUGUAUGUAAACUUCUGUAAGACGGGAAAAAUAUUCUCCUCGGGAGAAUUGAUUGUACCAUCAGAGUAAGCCCCGGCUCACUACGUG